AAUUUGGGGGCGGCCCUUGCUUGCAAGUCAAAUCGGCGCGGCGUGCGGCAGGGGCCUCUGUCUCUGCGGCUCCGCCCGUGUGGCGGACGGGUGAGUAACGCGUGGGCAACCUGCCCUGCACUGGGGGAUAACACCUGAAAACAGGUGCUAAUACCGCAUAAGCGCGCUGUGCCGCAUGGCGCGGCGCGGAAAACCCCGGUGGUACAGGAUGGGCCCGCGUCUGAUUAGCUGGUUGGUGGGGUAACGGCCUACCAAGGCGACGAUCAGUAGCCGGCCUGAGAGGGUGGACGGCCACACUGGGACUGAGACACGGCCCACACUCCUACGGGAGGCAGCAGUGGGGGAUAUUGCACAAUGGGGGGAACCCUGAUGCAGCGACGCCGCGUGGGUGAAGGAGCGUUUCGGCGCGUAAAGCCCUAUCGGCAGGGAAGAAGAUGACGGUACCUGGCCAAGAAGCCCCGGCUAACUACGUGCCAGCAGCCGCGGUAAUACGUAGGGGGCAAGCGUUAUCCGGAUUUACUGGGUGUAAAGGGGGCGCAGACGGCAAUGCAAGCCAGGAGUGAAAGCCCGGGGCCCAACCCCGGGACUGCUCUUGGAACUGCAUGGCUGGAGUACAGGAGGGGCAGGCGGAAUUCCUAGUGUAGCGGUGAAAUGCGUAGAUAUUAGGAGGAACACCGGUGGCGAAGGCGGCCUGCUGGACUGUGACUGACGUUGACGCCCGAAGGCGUGGGGAGCAAACAGGAUUAGAUACCCUGGUAGUCCACGCGGUAAACGAUGACUGCUAGGUGUCGGGGGGCAGGGGCCCCCCGGUGCCGGAGCAAACUCAUUAAAGCAGUCCACCUGGGGGAGUACGUUCCCCAAAAAUGAAACUCAAAGGAAUUGACUGGGAACCCCACAACC
rnacentral:rRNA from 1 species